UGGAGGGGAAGGGGGCGGCGCUGCUGCUCAAGGCGCGCCUGGAAGAGGUGACGCUGCUCCUGGAGACCUACCCCCCCACCACCCUGCGGGCCCACGCGCGCAUCAGGCUGGGAUUGGAGGAAGCCCGGCAGAGGGCGGAGCGGGAGGCGGGGCUGCUGCGGGAGGAGGAGAAGGCGGCCAUUGCGUUAGGCCCCGCCUACUUGGCCUUAGCCCGGGAAUAUGGCCGCCUCCGGGAGCUGAUUGGCCAGCGGCAGUGGGCGCUGAAGGAGCUCCGCCUACACCGGCGGUGAUGUCAUCACUGACGUCAUUGAUGAUGUCGUUAAUAAAGCGGUUUAUACGCA